rnacentral:rRNA from 1 species
CUGGUUGAUCCUGCCGGCGGGCACCGCUAUCGGAAUACGAUUAAGGCAUGCGAGUCGAGAGGUGCAAGACCUCGGCAGACGGCUGAGUAACACGCGGGUAACCUGCCCUGGAGUGGGGGAUAAUCUCGGGAAACUGAGGAUAAUACCCCAUAGGUGUGGUGUGCUGGAAUGCUUCCACGCUGAAAACCACGGUGCUCCAGGAUGGGCCUGCGGCCUAUCAGGCUGUAGUGGGUGUAACGGACCCACUAACCUACGACGGGUAGGGGCGUUGAGAGACGGAGCCCCCAGAUGGAUUCUGAGACACGAAUCCAGGCCCUACGGGGCGCAGCAGCUACGAAAACUGCACAAUGUGGGGAAACCACGAUGCGGGUAUUCUGAGCGACAACGCAUUG